rnacentral:rRNA from 1 species
UGAACGCUGGCGGCAGGCCUAACACAUGCAAGUCGAGCGGUAGCACAGAGAGCUUGCUCUCGGGUGACGAGCGGCGGACGGGUGAGUAAUGUCUGGGAAACUGCCUGAUGGAGGGGGAUAACUACUGGAAACGGUAGCUAAUACCGCAUAACGUCGCAAGACCAAAGUGGGGGACCUUCGGGCCUCAUGCCAUCAGAUGUGCCCAGAUGGGAUUAGCUAGUAGGUGGGGUAACGGCUCACCUAGGCGACGAUCCCUAGCUGGUCUGAGAGGAUGACCAGCCACACUGGAACUGAGACACGGUCCAGACUCCUACGGGAGGCAGCAGUGGGGAAUAUUGCACAAUGGGCGCAAGCCUGAUGCAGCCAUGCCGCGUGUGUGAAGAAGGCCUUCGGGUUGUAAAGCACUUUCAGCGGGGAGGAAGGCGUUAAGGUUAAUAACCUUGGCGAUUGACGUUACCCGCAGAAGAAGCACCGGCUAACUCCGUGCCAGCAGCCGCGGUAAUACGGAGGGUGCAAGCGUUAAUCGGAAUUACUGGGCGUAAAGCGCACGCAGGCGGUCUGUCAAGUCGGAUGUGAAAUCCCCGGGCUCAACCUGGGAACUGCAUUCGAAACUGGCAGGCUAGAGUCUUGUAGAGGGGGGUAGAAUUCCAGGUGUAGCGGUGAAAUGCGUAGAGAUCUGGAGGAAUACCGGUGGCGAAGGCGGCCCCCUGGACAAAGACUGACGCUCAGGUGCGAAAGCGUGGGGAGCAAACAGGAUUAGAUACCCUGGUAGUCCACGCCGUAAACGAUGUCGAUUUGGAGGUUGUGCCCUUGAGGCGUGGCUUCCGGAGCUAACGCGUUAAAUCGACCGCCUGGGGAGUACGGCCGCAAGGUUAAAACUCAAAUGAAUUGACGGGGGCCCGCACAAGCGGUGGAGCAUGUGGUUUAAUUCGAUGCAACGCGAAGAACCUUACCUGGUCUUGACAUCCACAGAACUUUCCAGAGAUGGAUUGGUGCCUUCGGGAACUGUGAGACAGGUGCUGCAUGGCUGUCGUCAGCUCGUGUUGUGAAAUGUUGGGUUAAGUCCCGCAACGAGCGCAACCCUUAUCCUUUGUUGCCAGCGGUUCGGCCGGGAACUCAAAGGAGACUGCCAGUGAUAAACUGGAGGAAGGUGGGGAUGACGUCAAGUCAUCAUGGCCCUUACGACCAGGGCUACACACGUGCUACAAUGGCAUAUACAAAGAGAAGCGACCUCGCGAGAGCAAGCGGACCUCAUAAAGUAUGUCGUAGUCCGGAUUGGAGUCUGCAACUCGACUCCAUGAAGUCGGAAUCGCUAGUAAUCGUAGAUCAGAAUGCUACGGUGAAUACGUUCCCGGGCCUUGUACACACCGCCCGUCACACCAUGGGAGUGGGUUGCAAAAGAAGUAGGUAGCUUAACCUUCGGGAGGGCGCUUACCACUUUGUGAUUCAUGACUGGGGUGA